UACUCUUCGUAUUCUCUCUCUCUCUCUCACUUUUCAAAAUUCAAACCCUAAUUUCCUCUGUUUUCCAUCGGCGAUUUGAGAUUGUUUCUGAUUGAACGAAGAUCUCGGCGGCUCGAUUUUCAAAGUCUCUCAGUAUGGAGAUUAAAACUGCAAGAAGAGGGCCACAGGGAAAAGAAAGUUCUGUUUUUGAUCGAUUAGGAGCAGGACGAGGAGGGCAUUUAAACAACAGCAGCAACAAGAUAUGCAAAUUUUGGCUCAGUGGUAGAUGCCUUAAAAACCCAUGUAGGUUUGCCCAUUCAGAAACACCUGAUGUGGCCACCAUUCACCGUCCCAGGCAGACUCCUUACUACCCUCACUCCAGCAACGCUUAAGUUUCGAAUACUUGGCGAAGGGCUCCUAGGAUUUCACAAAAUGUUCAGGAGAAGGUUGUUAACCACAAGUCUUCCAAAAAUGUUCCUGGGAAGUCUGAAUCAGACUUUGAAGAUAUUAAAAAGAAGUCGCCAGAAAGCGUUUCUGAGAGUUCUUCAGAAUGUUCUGUUGUUGAAAAUGAUUCUAAUCUGGAGAAUGUGGUUGAAGAAAAGCCUCUGGAGCAUGUUCCUAAGAAAACUGCAGAAAGGGUUUGUGAGUUCUGGGUGCAAGGGACGUGUGUCUAUGGUGAUCAGUGCCCUUACCUACACUCAUGGUUUCGUGGGGAUAAGUUCAAAAGGUUGGCAGAGCUUCAAGGGCACAACAAGGCAGUCAAUGGAAUUGCACUUCCUCUAAGAUGCAACAAGCUUUGUUCAGGUAGUAGUGAUGGAACAAUUCGGCUUUGGGACUGCCAUACUGGUCAAUGUGCUAAUGUGAUUAACCUUGGUGGCGAAGUUGGAUCUGUUUGUAGUGAAGGCCCAUGGCUCUUUGUUGGCAUGCCAAAUGUUGUGAAGGUGUGGAAUACUGAAUCAGGUGCUGAAUAUAGUCUCAAUGGACCUGUUGGGCAAGUCAAUGCAUUGGAAUCUGUUUACAAUUUGCUUUUUGCUGGGGUAGAGGAUGGUGUUAUUUUGGCAUGGAAAGGCACUUAUGAAACUAACCUUACAUUUCAACUUGCUGCAACCCUUAAAGGCCACACAAAUGGUAUAACAUCUUUAGUUGUUGGAGGAGGUAACAGGCUGUACUCAGGUUCCAAGGACCACACAAUAAGGGUUUGGGAUCAUGAAAAUUGGCAGUGUAUUAUGACACUGUAUGGGCAUGAUGAUGUUGUGAAGUCUCUCAUGUGCUGGGAUAAGUAUUUGUUCUCUGGUUCAUUGGAUUGCACAAUAAAAGUUUGGGCUUCUACUGAUGAUGGCAGCUUGGAAGUAAUCUAUACUCACAGUGAAGAACAAGGCAUCAUUGCACUUGCUGGGAUGACUGAUCCCGAUGUUAAACCAAUCUUGUAUUGCUCUUGUAGCGAUAAAUCUGUCCACCUCUAUGAACUGCCAAUAUUCACUGACAGGGGCAGAUUAUUUGCAAAACAAGAAGUCCAGACUCUUCAAAUAGGUCCUGGGGGCCUCUUUUUUACUGGGGAUCAGACUGGUUUGCUGACAGUGUAUACAUGGGUAGCAGACUAAUGGCUGUGACGUUUCCAAGACUAGUACAGCAUGGUUUUUAUUACUUAUGGCAAACAAUGUACUGUAUUUUGAUCACAUUUUCCAAUGUACAGUAUUUUGAGUACAUUUUCCAAUGUACGAUAUUUCGAGUUUAGAAAUUCAUGUUAUUAUGAAUAUUGUGGAUAAAACAAUGUAAUACUACGUAAUGAAAAUAAAUAGCUACAUAACCUAAGGU